rnacentral:rRNA from 1 species
CGAACGCUGGCGGCGUGCUUAACACAUGCAAGUCGAACGCGAACGGGACUUCGGUCCCUAGUAGAGUGGCGCACGGGUGAGUAACGCGUAGAUAACCUAUCUUCCUGUCUGGAAUAAUACGCCGAAAGGAGUACUAAUACCGGAUACUCUUGCUUUUCAUAAGUAUAGCAAGCAAAGGUGGCCUCUGUAUAUGCUACUGCAGGGAGAGGGGUCUGCGUACCAUUAGCUAGUAGGUGGGGUAAGGGCCUACCUAGGCUACGAUGGUUAGCGGGUCUGAGAGGAUGAUCCGCCACACUGGCACUGGAACACGGGCCAGACUCCUACGGGAGGUAGCAGUGAGGAAUAUUGCGCAAUGGGGGCAACCCUGACGCAGCGACGCCGCGUGAGUGAGGAAGGCCUUCGGGUCGUAAAGCUCUGUCAAGAGGAAAGAAGUGCAUAGCGGUUAAUACCCGUUAUGUUUGACGGUACCUCUAAAGGAAGCACCGGCUAACUCCGUGCCAGCAGCCGC